ACUAGUAGCUAUGUCAUCCUGCAGCUCACAAGUGGCAACCCACUGAAGCUCAGCAGGUGUGAGGCUGAUCAGUACCUGGAUGGGAGACCUCCUGGGAAAAACUAAGUUUACUGCCGGAA
rnacentral:rRNA from 1 species